rnacentral:rRNA from 1 species
GUAAUUUUUAGUGGCGAACGGGUGCGUAAUACAUGAGAAUUUGCCUUUAGGUAGAGGAUAACAAUUAGAAAUAAUUACUAAAACUCUAUAAAGUUGUAAAACAAAAAAAGAAAUUUGCCUAAAGAGAAGCUCAUGCCUGAUUAGCUAGUUGGUUAGGUAAAAGCUUACCAAGGCGACGAUCAGUAGUUGAUCUGAGAGGAUGAUCAGCCACAUUGGAACUGAGAUACGGUCCAAACUUCUACGGAAGGCAGCAGUGGGGAAUUUUCUGCAAUGGACGAAAGUCUGACAGAGCAAUAUCACGUGAGGGAUUAAGGUCUAAGGAUUGUAAACCUCUUUUUUCAAGGAAGAAUUUCUGACGUUACUUGAAGAAUAAGCAUCGGCUAACUCUGUGCCAGCAGCCGCGGUAAUACAGGGGAUGCGAGUGUUAUCCGGAAUUAUUGGGCGUAAAGGGUCUGUA